rnacentral:ncRNA from 1 species
GGUUUCCACGUAAAACACUGGUGUACUAUGUAUGUGUGUGAUUGUUUAUUUAUUACUGCUCAUUAUUGGACAAUAAUUCUACAUUGAUAUAACAUUUGAAGAAAAAGGAUUAUAAUUAUGUUAUUACUGAUUCACCCCCCCUCUCAGUAAUCCAACAGGGUUUGGGCUCUCUACGUCCUCCAACUACAAGCUAUGAAUGGGGGCGGGCUUCCCCUAUAGUACCAAUGUCCUAGCUUAGUAAAGGUACAUAUCUGACUUGUUUUAUAUUGUCUCUUUUGCUCUGAGAAAAUCCCCCUUGGCUGCGAGUUCUCUCUUCCUCUGUCUCUGUAUCAAGCCGGUUUGGGCGCUCUGUGUCCUCCAACUACAAGCUACUAUGAAUGGGUGCGGGCGCCGACAAGGGGUUUAUUGUUGGUUUUUUUGUUUUGUGGAAUUUGAAAUUUUAUGUUUUUUAAUUUUUUUAAAUAACCUUAUAACAAUCGACUCAGAGGUGGUUCAGACAAGGGGAAUCUGACUAUUUAAUUAAAACAAAGAAUUGCGAUGGUCCUUGUGGAUGCUGACGCAAUGUGAUUUCUGCCCAGUGCUCUGAAUGUUAAAGUGAAUAAAUUCAACCAAGCAUGGGUAAAUGACAGGAGUAACUAUGACUCUCUUAAGGUAUCCAAAUGCCUCGCCAUCUAAUUAGUGAUGCACAUGAAUGGAUUAACUAGAUUCCCACUAUCCCUAUCUACUAUUUAGUGAAACCACAACCAAGGGAAUGGGCUUGGCAUAAUCAACAGGGAAAGAAGGCCUUGUUGAGAUUGACUCUAGUCUGACUUUGUGAAAUGAAUUGAGAGUUGUAGAAUAAGUGGGAAUCAUUUUCGCCACGAAUGAAAUACCACUACUUUUAACAUUAUUUUACUUAUAGUUUUGUGGGGCGGAGACGAGGCAGUUACCCUAUUUUUUGCCUUAAGUCAUGUUUCAAUGGGUCGAUCUGGGCGGAACACAUUGCUAGGUGGGGAUUUUGGACAGCGAAACACAUCUAUUAAAAGAUAACAUAAAAUAUAAUUGGUGUAGUUAGAACAUUUGUGUUUGGGAGAUCCUAGUGCAUAACCACCCUUAUUACCUUUCCCUCCUAAUUUGUAGUUACAUCCAAUCAUUUCUAAAUUGAAUCUAGUUUCCUCACUUUCACAAUAUGGAUAGAUGUGUGAAACCUAUAUAUUAUUAAAGAUUUCAAAACCCUUAUCCAUGAGCCUAUGGUUACAUACAAAUGGAAAAAAAAGGUGGAUACAAAAAUGCCACCCAUUCCUCCUUAGGGUCAUCCCUAGGAUCUUGUUGUAU